rnacentral:rRNA from 1 species
GGGACAACCCGCCGAAAGGCGGGCUAAACCCGCGUACAUGCCACCGGGGCAUCCCGGAGGCAGGAAAGGCUUCGGCCGGACAGGGAUGGGCAUGCGGCGCAUUAGGCAGUAGGCGGGGUAACGGCCCACCUAACCGACGAUGCGUAGGGGUUCUGAGAGGAAGGUCCCCCACACUGGUACUGAGACACGGACCAGACUCCUACGGGAGGCAGCAGUGAGGAAUAUUGGUCAAUGGUCGGGAGACUGAACCAGCCAAGCCGCGUGAGGGAGGAAGGUACAGAGUAUCGUAAACCUCUUUUGUCAGGGAACAAAGACUGGGACGCGUCCCCGGAUGAGUGUACCUGAAGAAAAAGCAUCGGCUAACUCCGUGCCAGCAGCCGCGGUAAUACGGAGAAUGCGAGCGUUAUCCGGAUUUAUUGGGUUUAAAGGGUGCGCAGGCGGUCUGUUAAGUCAGCGGUCAAAGCCCGGGGCUCAACCCCGGCCCGCCGUUGAAACUGGCAGUCUCGGGUUGGAGAGAAGUAUGCGGAAUGCGCGGUGUAGCGGUGAAAUGCAUAGAUAUCGCGCAGAACUCCGAUUGCGAAGGCAGCAUGCCGGCUCCACACUGACGCUGAGGCACGAAAGCGUGGGUAUCGAACAGGAUUAGAUACCCUGGUAGUCCACGCAGUAAACGAUGAAUGCUGGCUGUCCG